rnacentral:rRNA from 1 species
AGAGUUUGAUCAUGGCUCAGGACGAACGCUGGCGGCGUGCUUAACACAUGCAAGUCGAGCGGAAAGGCCCUUCGGGGUACUCGAGCGGCGAACGGGUGAGUAACACGUGAGCAACCUGCCCCUAACACCGGGAUAGCUCCGGGAAACCGGAAUUAAUACCGGAUAUGACCACGGCGGACAUCCGCUGUGGUGGAAAGGUU